rnacentral:rRNA from 1 species
AGAGUUUGAUCCUGGCUCAGGACGAACGCUGGCGGCGCGCCUAACACAUGCAAGUCGAACGAGCGAGAGAGAGCUUGCUUUCUCGAGCGAGUGGCGAACGGGUGAGUAACGCGUGAGGAACCUGCCUCAAAGAGGGGGACAACAGUUGGAAACGACUGCUAAUACCGCAUAAGCCCACGGCUCGGCAUCGAGCAGAGGGAAAAGGAGCAAUCCGCUUUGAGAUGGCCUCGCGUCCGAUUAGCUAGUUGGUGAGGUAACGGCCCACCAAGGCGACGAUCGGUAGCCGGACUGAGAGGUUGAACGGCCACAUUGGGACUGAGACACGGCCCAGACUCCUACGGGAGGCAGCAGUGGGGAAUAUUGCACAAUGGGGGAAACCCUGAUGCAGCGACGCCGCGUGGAGGAAGAAGGUCUUCGGAUUGUAAACUCCUGUUGUUGAGGAAGAUAAUGACGGUACUCAACAAGGAAGUGACGGCUAACUACGUGCCAGCAGCCGCGGUAAAACGUAGGUCACAAGCGUUGUCCGGAAUUACUGGGUGUAAAGGGAGCGCAGGCGGGAGAACAAGUUGGAAGUGAAAUCCAUGGGCUCAACCCAUGAACUGCUUUCAAAACUGUUUUUCUUGAGUAGUGCAGAGGUAGGCGGAAUUCCCGGUGUAGCGGUGGAAUGCGUAGAUAUCGGGAGGAACACCAGUGGCGAAGGCGGCCUACUGGGCACCAACUGACGCUGAGGCUCGAAAGUGUGGGUAGCAAACAGGAUUAGAUACCCUGGUAGUCCACACCGUAAACGAUGAUUACUAGGUGUUGGAGGAUUGACCCCUUCAGUGCCGCAGUUAACACAAUAAGUAAUCCACCUGGGGAGUACGACCGCAAGGUUGAAACUCAAAGGAAUUGACGGGGGCCCGCACAAGCAGUGGAGUAUGUGGUUUAAUUCGACGCAACGCGAAGAACCUUACCAAGUCUUGACAUCCUGCGACGGUGCUGGAAACAGUACUUUCCUUCGGGACGCAGAGACAGGUGGUGCAUGGUUGUCGUCAGCUCGUGUCGUGAGAUGUUGGGUUAAGUCCCGCAACGAGCGCAACCCUUA